rnacentral:rRNA from 1 species
AACGUAGGAGACAAACGUUAUCCGGAGUUACUGGGCGUAAAGGGCGUGUAGGCGGUUUGUUAAGUCUGGCGUGAAAGCUCUCGGCUAAACCGGGAGAGGUCGUUGGAUACUGGCAAACUAGAGGACGGUAGAGGCGUGUGGAAUUCCGGGUGUAGUGGUGAAAUGCGUAGAGAUCCGGAGGAACACCGGUGGCGAAGGCGGAUCUCUGGGCCAUUACUGACGCUGAGGAGCGAAAGCGUGGGGAGCGAACAGG